rnacentral:rRNA from 1 species
GACGAACGCUGGCGGCGUGCCUAAUACAUGCAAGUCGUGCGGACCUUGUUGAAAGCUUGCUUUUAAAAGGUUAGCGGCGGACGGGUGAGUAACACGUGGGCAACCUGCCUGUAAGACUGGGAUAACGCCGGGAAACCGGGGCUAAUACCAGAUCGUUUUUUCCUCCGCAUGGAGGAAAAAGGAAAGGCGGCUUCGGCUGCCACUUACAGAUGGGCCCGCGGCGCAUUAGCUAGUUGGCGGGGUAAUGGCCCACCAAGGCAACGAUGCGUAGCCGACCUGAGAGGGUGAUCGGCCACAUUGGGACUGAGACACGGCCCAAACUCCUACGGGAGGCAGCAGUAGGGAAUCUUCCGCAAUGGACGAAAGUCUGACGGAGCAACGCCGCGUGAGUGAAGAAGGCCGUCGGGUCGUAAAACUCUGUUGCCGGGGAAGAACAAGUGCCGUUCGAACAGGGCGGCGCCUUGACGGUACCCGGCCAGAAAGCCACGGCUAACUACGUG